GACGAACGCUGGCGGCGUGCUUAACACAUGCAAGUCGAACGGAAAGGCCCUGCUUUUGUGGGGUGCUCGAGUGGCGAACGGGUGAGUAACACGUGAGUAACCUGCCCUUGACUUUGGGAUAACUUCAGGAAACUGGGGCUAAUACCGGAUAGGAGCUCCUGCUGCAUGGUGGGGGUUGGAAAGUUUCGGCGGUUGGGGAUGGACUCGCGGCUUAUCAGCUUGUUGGUGGGGUAGUGGCUUACCAAGGCUUUGACGGGUAGCCGGCCUGAGAGGGUGACCGGCAACAUUGGGACGGAGAUCCGGCCCAGCCCCUGCCGGGAGGCAGCAGUGGGGAAUAUGGCACAAUGGGCGGAAGCCGGAUGCAGCAACGCCGCGUGCGGGAUGACGGCCUUCGGGUUGUAAACCGCUUUCGCCUGUGACGAAGCGUGAGUGACGGGAAUGGUAAAGAAGCACCGGCUAACUACGUG
rnacentral:rRNA from 1 species